rnacentral:rRNA from 1 species
AGAGUUUGAUCGUGGCUCAGAACGAACGCUGGCGGCAUCCCUAACACAUGCAAGUCGAACGCGAAAGGAGACUUCGGUGUCUGAGUAAAGUGGCGAACGGGUGCGUAACACGUAAGUAAUCUACCUUGGGCACUGGGAUAACCCGCCGAAAGGCGUGCUAAUACCGCCGGAUAGUUCCCUUGGGCACAAGUCUGAGGGGGAAGGUAGGCAUUUUUGAAAUGCUUGUGGUCUAGGAUGAGCUUGCGGCCCAUUAGCUUGUUGGUGGGGUAACGGCCUACCAAGGCUACGAUGGGUAGCUGGUCUGAGAGGAUGAUCAGCCACACUGGCACUGAGACACGGGCCAGACUCCUACGGGAGGCAGCAGUGGGGAAUUUUGCGCAAUGGGCGAAAGCCUGACGCAGUAACGCCGCGUGGAGGAUGAAGGCCUUAGGGUUGUAAACUCCUGACAGGGGGAAAGAUGUUCUUGGGGUGAAUACCCCCGAGGGCAAGACGGUACCCCCAAAGGAAGCCCCGGCUAAUUCCGUGCCAGCAGCCGCGGUAAUACGGAAGGGGCAAGCGUUGUUCGGAAUCAUUGGGCGUAAAGGGCGUGUAGGCGGCUUCGUAUGUCUGCGGUGAAAGCAUACAGCUCAACUGUGAAACUGCGACGGAAACUGCCUCGCUAGAGUACAGGAGAGGAGAGUGGAAUUCCCAGUGUAGCGGUGAAAUGCGUAGAUAUUGGGAAGAACACCGAUGGCGAAGGCGGCUCUCUGGACUGAUACUGACGCUAAGGCGCGAAAGCUAGGGGAGCGAACGGGAUUAGAUACCCCGGUAGUCCUAGCCGUAAACGAUGGGCACUAGGUGUAGGAGGAAGUGAUUUCUUCUGUGCCGUAGCUAACGCAUUAAGUGCCCCGCCUGGGGAGUACGUUCGCAAGAAUGAAACUCAAAGGAAUUGACGGGGGCCCGCACAAGCGGUGGAACAUGUGGUUUAAUUCGACGCGACGCGAAGAACCUUAGCUUGACAUCCCGAUCGUACCUUUUAGAAAUAUUAGGGUCAGCUUGGCUGGAUCGGUGACAGGUGCUGCAUGGCUGUCGUCAGCUCGUGUCCUGAGAUUUUGGGUUAAGUCCCGCAACGGGCGCAACCCUUGUCCUUAGUUGCCAUCAUUAAGUUGGGGAACUCUAAGGGAACUGCCGGUGAUAAAUCGGAGGAAGGUGGGGAUGACGUCAAGUCCUCAUGGCCUUUAUGUCCAGGGCUACACACGUGCUACAAUGGCCGGUACAAAGGGUUGCCAAACCGCGAGGUGGAGCUAAUCCCAGAAAACCGGUCUCAGUUCGGAUUGGAGUCUGCAACUCGACUCCAUGAAGUCGGAAUCGCUAGUAAUCGUGGAUCAGCAUGCCACGGUGAAUACGUUCCCGGGCCUUGUACACACCGCCCGUCACACCACGAAAGCUGGUUGUACCAGAAGUCACUGGGCUAACCCGUAAGGGAGGCAGGUGCCGAAGGUAUGGCCGGUGAUUGGGGUGAAGUCGUAACAAGGUAACC